rnacentral:rRNA from 1 species
AACGAACGCUGGCGGCAGGCUUAACACAUGCAAGUCGAACGCACCGCAAGGUGAGUGGCAGACGGGUGAGUAACACGUGGGGAUCUGCCCAAUGGUACGGAAUAGCUCCGGGAAACUGGAAUUAAUACCGUAUGAGCCCGCAAGGGGAAAGAUUUAUCGCCAUUGGAUGAACCCGCGUCGGAUUAGCUAGUUGGUGUGGUAAAGGCGCACCAAGGCGACGAUCCGUAGCUGGUCUGAGAGGAUGAUCAGCCACACUGGGACUGAGACACGGCCCAGACUCCUACGGGAGGCAGCAGUGGGGAAUAUUGGACAAUGGGCGCAAGCCUGAUCCAGCCAUGCCGCGUGAGUGAUGAAGGCCUUAGGGUUGUAAAGCUCUUUCACCGGAGAAGAUAAUGACGGUAUCCGGAGAAGAAGCCCCGGCUAACUUCGUGCCAGCCGCCGCAGUAACAC